UUAUUUUUUGACAUUUUGGAUCAUAUAAUUUCACGCAAUAUUUUACUUGUAUUAUAGCAAUAAAGUAAUAUUUAUACAUGUUGUACAAACAACUAAUUGUUUUUUAUAAGUUUUAGUUAUUUUAUAUUUUAGUUACUACAGCAUAUUAUAUGGAUUAUGCAGAGCGUUCGGAAUAGUUGAAGAUAAUUUAUAUUAUAAAUCAAGUAUUUCGGCGAUAAAAAAGAUGAAGAGGAGACGUGAUGCACAUAAUAUUUUUGAUUAUUUAAAGGUACAUUUUUUUCGGUUGAUGAAGAUUGGUUAGGAAAAACAAUAUCAAAUACCGCAGUUACACAAUGAUGCGACACUGCCGGAAAGGAUGCGUCAUAAAGCGAUCUCCCGUAUAUAAAACAUCACAAAUAAAUAUCAAACAUCGUUGAAACCCUUACCUCA